rnacentral:rRNA from 1 species
GGGACAACAGCUAGAAAUGGCUGCUAAUACCGCAUAAGCCUACAGCCUCGCAUGAGGGAGUAGGAAAAGAAAUUCGGUGCAGGAUGAGUCCGCGUCUGAUUAGCUAGUUGGAGGGGUAAAAGCCCACCAAGGCAACGAUCAGUAGCCGGCCUGAGAGGGCGACCGGCCACAUUGGGACUGAGACACGGCCCAAACUCCUACGGGAGGCAGCAGUGGGGAAUAUUGCACAAUGGGGGAAACCCUGAUGCAGCGACGCCGCGUGAGCGAGGAAGUAUUUCGGUAUGUAAAGCUCUAUCAGCAGGGACGAAAAAAGACGGUACCUGACUAAGAAGCCCCGGCUAACUACGUGCCAGCAGCCGCGGUAAUACGUAGGGGGCAAGCGUUAUCCGGAUUUACUGGGUGUAAAGGGAGCGUAGACGGCAAGGCAAGCCAGAAGUGAAAGGGCAGGGCUCAACCCUGUACAUGCUUUUGGAACUGUGGUGCUAGAGUGCAGGAGAGGUAAGUGGAAUUCCUAGUGUAGCGGUGAAAUGCGUAGAUAUUAGGAGGAACACCAGUGGCGAAGGCGGCUUACUGGACUGUAACUGACGUUGAGGCUCGAAAGCGUGGGGAGCAAACAGGAUUAGAUACCCUGGUAGUCCACGCUGUAAACGAUGAAUACUAGGUGUUGG